GAGUUGGCUUUUUUAGAUCCAAAUUUGUACAAGGUAUUAAAUCUGUUUAUCUUUUGUUAAAAAUGUUGAAUGCAUGUUGACACAUUUGGUUAAAAAUAUCUAUAUUAUUUAUCCUGCUUAUACAAGUCUUUGUUAAAUUGUUUUACAUAACGAAACCUUUCUCUACAAAGAAUCUGUCAAGCAGUUUGACGCACACUACGAUUGGUGGUACAGUGCUUGCCUAAACUGUGCCAAACAAAUGCACAAAGAUCCAACAAUUGGGCAAUUGAUUUGUCAAAAACAUGCAAACCAGCUACCAACUCCUUGGGGAGAAAAUGUUCGAUGGAAUAAUUUCUUAGAUGUAUUUCCACAUGCCCAAGGAUUAGGUCCACUUUUUACAGGUACAAACUAAACUUGGUCCUUGAGGACGAAACCAGUGAAAUGAAUGCUUUAAUUAUUGGCAAAUCUGGUGAGAAGCUUUUUUGGCACAACA